rnacentral:rRNA from 1 species
CCUCUUAAUGGGGUGACUGCGUACCUUUUGUAUAAUGGGUCAGCGACUUAUAUUCUGUAGCAAGGUUAACCGAAUAGGGGAGCCGAAGGGAAACCGAGUCUUAACUGGGCGUUAAGUUGCAGGGUAUAGACCCGAAACCCGGUGAUCUAGCCAUGGGCAGGUUGAAGGUUGGGUAACACUAACUGGAGGACCGAACCGACUAAUGUUGAAAAAUUAGCGGAUGACUUGUGGCUGGGGGUGAAAGGCCAAUCAAACCGGGAGAUAGCUGGUUCUCCCCGAAAGCUAUUUAGGUAGCGCCUCGUGAAUUCAUCUCCGGGGGUAGAGCACUGUUUCGGCAAGGGGGUCAUCCCGACUUACCAACCCGAUGCAAACUGCGAAUACCGGAGAAUGUUAUCACGGGAGACACACGGCGGGUGCUAACGUCCGUCGUGAAGAGGGAAACAACCCAGACCGCCAGCUAAGGUCCCAAAGUCAUGGUUAAGUGGGAAACGAUGUGGGAAGGCCCAGACAGCCAGGAUGUUGGCUUAGAAGCAGCCAUCAUUUAAAGAAAGCGUAAUAGCUCACUGGUCGAGUCGGCCUGCGCGGAAGAUGUAACGGGGCUAAACCAUGCACCGAAGCUGCGGCAGCGACACUAUGUGUUGUUGGGUAGGGGAGCGUUCUGUAAGCCUGCGAAGGUGUACUGUGAGGUAUGCUGGAGGUAUCAGAAGUGCGAAUGCUGACAUAAGUAACGAUAAAGCGGGUGAAAAGCCCGCUCGCCGGAAGACCAAGGGUUCCUGUCCAACGUUAAUCGGGGCAGGGUGAGUCGACCCCUAAGGCGAGGCCGAAAGGCGUAGUCGAUGGGAAACAGGUUAAUAUUCCUGUACUUGGUGUUACUGCGAAGGGGGGACGGAGAAGGCUAUGUUGGCCGGGCGACGGUUGUCCCGGUUUAAGCGUGUAGGCUGGUUUUCCAGGCAAAUCCGGAAAAUCAAGGCUGAGGCGUGAUGACGAGGCACUACGGUGCUGAAGCAACAAAUGCCCUGCUUCCAGGAAAAGCCUCUAAGCAUCAGGUAACAUCAAAUCGUACCCCAAACCGACACAGGUGGUCAGGUAGAGAAUACCAAGGCGCUUGAGAGAACUCGGGUGAAGGAACUAGGCAAAAUGGUGCCGUAACUUCGGGAGAAGGCACGCUGAUAUGUAGGUGAAGUCCCUCGCGGAUGGAGCUGAAAUCAGUCGAAGAUACCAGCUGGCUGCAACUGUUUAUUAAAAACACAGCACUGUGCAAACACGAAAGUGGACGUAUACGGUGUGACGCCUGCCCGGUGCCGGAAGGUUAAUUGAUGGGGUUAGCGCAAGCGAAGCUCUUGAUCGAAGCCCCGGUA